rnacentral:tRNA from 1 species
CGAGAAAUGGCUGAAUUUUAGGUGGCGGAUUGUAGCUCUGUUUAUGGAUUUUUUCCUUUCUUGA